UGUCAAAACGACUCUCGGCAACGGAUAUCUCGGCUCUCGCAUCGAUGAAGAACGUAGCGAAAUGCGAUACUUGGUGUGAAUUGCAGAAUCCCGUGAACCAUCGAGUCUUUGAACGCAAGUUGCGCCCAAAGCCGUUAGGCCGAGGGCACGUCUGCCUGGGCGUC
rnacentral:rRNA from 1 species